GGAUUAGAUACCCUGGUAGUCCACGCCGUAAACGAUGUCUACUAGCCGUUGGGGAACUUGAGUCCUUAGUGGCGCAGCUAACGCACUAAGUAGACCGCCUGGGGAGUACGGCCGCAAGGUUAAAACUCAAAUGAAUUGACGGGGGCCCGCACAAGCGGUGGAGCAUGUGGUUUAAUUCGAUGCAACGCGAAGAACCUUACCAGGACUUGACAUCCAGAGAACUUUCUAGAGAUAGAUUGGUGCCUUCGGGAACUCUGUGACAGGUGCUGCAUGGCUGUCGUCAGCUCGUGCCG
rnacentral:rRNA from 1 species